rnacentral:rRNA from 1 species
ACGAUGAAGGCUUUCGAGUCGUAAAGUUCUGUUCUUGGGGAAGAUAACGACGGUACCCAAGGAGAAAGCACCGGCUAAAUACGUGCCAGCAGCCGCGGUAAUACGUAUGGUGCAAGCGUUGUCCGGAAUUACUGGGCGUAAAGAGUUCGUAGGCGGUUAGAUUAGUCAGAAGUGAAAGGCUACGGCUCAACCGUAGUAAGCUUUUGAAACUGUCUAACUUGAGUACUGGAGAGGAAAGCGGAAUUCCUAGUGUAGCGGUGAAAUGCGUAGAUAUUAGGAAGAACACCAGUGGCGAAGGCGGCUUUCUGGACAGUAACUGACGCUGAGGAACGAAAGCGUGGGGAGCGAACAGGAUUAGAUACCCUGGUAGUCCGCGCCGUAAACGAUGAGAACUAGGUGUUGGGGGUCGAACCUCAGUGCCGCAGCUAACGCAGUAAGUUCUCCGCCUGGGGAGUACGAUCGCAAGAUUGAAACUCAAAGGAAUUGACGG